UAAAAAAUAUGAUUACUUUUAAUUUAGAUUCUAGUUCCUGUAGAGCGAUAAGCUUCACAUUCUAUACUAUUUUGUUUAUAUUAUUUCUUUUUCAGGCCAGGGCAGCUUAUAACCCACCAAACCUAAAGUAGUUACUCUCGUAAAUUGACAUAAUAGCCAACCUGCUACACUUAUAUUUCGUAAACGAUCUAGGUGCAGAAUUUAAGAAGCACCGAGCAGAAUUUUUAAGAAGAUUAACGCCCACAGAUGUCCAUUGUUGGACAUAGGUUUCUCCCAAGCCUCGCCAUAACUACCGGUCCUGUGCCACCAGCAUACAGUGGAUUCCCGCAACCCUCAACAGGUGUCAGUCCUCGUUGUGGGAGGAUUACCCACGCUACGUCUUCCGGUAUGCGAUUGCCAAUCGAGAUCUUUUAGGUCCCAGAGGCCAUCUGUUACUACGAUCAAUCUGCCUUGUCCAAUCCCACUUUAACGUCGCAAUCCUUAGGGCUAUGUCGGCUAUGUCGGUUUGGUCUUCAUGAAAAACACUAGCUUUCAAAGAAAAAAAUUAUCAUCAAAACCGGUCCAUCUAGAAUAAAGUUCUAGGGCAACAUACAAAACAAACAUACAGAAGAAUUGAGAACCGCCUCCUUUUAUAAUAUAAUAAAGUACAAUUAUUUCAAA